rnacentral:pre_miRNA from 1 species
GGCAUGGAAUCCUGUGGCAUCCAUGAAACUACCUUCGACUCCAUCAUGAAGUGUGAAGUGGACAUCCGCAAGGACCUCUACCCC